GCUUGCUCAGUGUUGGAGUGUAAUCAGAGAGGAUCAUGGAGUGUGAAAGUGUAUCCACAUCCAUCCGCCAGUAUGGAGCGCGCUGGAGGCUCUCAGUCUGUGCGAGGAGGCAGCCAGCAUGGCGGGUGAGGAUCUGAGUGUGAUAUUAAUCAUGUUUUAUAUUCCAGGAAUGCCCUGCCUGGUGCAGUUAGUAUGCCAUGUGCAGACAGCAAAAUAUGGAGAAUACUACAGCAGGACAAUGUGAUCUCAUCUGCCCUGUGCUGGCUGUGUGUGAGUACACUAUCAUUUAAUAAUGAAUGGCCAUCCUUCUAUUAUCUGCUGUGUGUGUGAGCACACUAUCAUUUAAUAAUGAAUGGCCAUCCUUCUAUUAUCUGCUGUGUGUGAGCACACUAUCAUUUAAUAAUGAAUGGCCAUCCUUCUAUUAUCUGCUGUGUGUGUGAGUACACUAUCAUUUAAUAAUGAAUGGCCAUCCUUCUAUUAUCUGCUGUGUGUGAGCACACUAUCAUUUAAUAAUGAAUGGCCAUCCUUCUAUUAUCUGCUGUGUGUGUGAGCACACUAUCAUUUAAUAAUGAAUGGCCAUCCUUCUAUUAUCUGCUGUGUGUGAGCACACUAUCAUUUAAUAAUGAAUGGCCAUCCUUCUAUUAUCUGCUGUGUGUGUGAGCACACUAUCAUUUAAUAAUGAAUGGCCAUCCUUCUAUUAUCUGCACACUAUCAUUUAAUAAUGAAUGGCCAUCCUUCUAUUAUCUGCUGUGUGUGAGCACACUAUCAUUUAAUAAUGAAUGGCCAUCCUUCUAUUAUCUGCUGUGUGUGUGAGCACACUAUCAUUUAAUAAUGAAUGGCCUCCUUCUAUUAUCUGCUGUGUGUGUGAGUACACUAUCAUUUAAUAAUGAAUGGACAUCCUUCUAUUAUCUGCUGUGUGUGUGUGUGAGUACACUAUCAUUUAAUAACGAAUGGCCAUCCUUUUAUUAUUGGCUGUGUGUGAGAAUACAACCAUAUAAUAAUGAAUGUUGUGUAAAGACUCCAUCACAAUUUCUUUCAGAUACUGACACAUCCACAAUGUGUUUCCGGACACUGGAUAUAACCGAAAGCUCUGCCUUGUAGUACUGACAGUCAGAAUUCAAGAUUGAUUAGUCCUGCAGCAUAUCAUUUCUACGUGCUGCCUAUCAAUAUGAAAUAAGGGGUGGGCAGUUGUCCUGGUAGACAUGGUGAGUUUGCCAGCCUUAGUUUUUCUUUAUAAAUGUAUUUUUGGCCAAACUUCUUCCAUGAUAAAAAUGAACACUCCAGGCACCAGAAGAACUUGAUCUAGAUUAAGUUGUUAUGGUGCUGCCCCCAGACGCACUCUUACCUUCAUGGGUUAAACCGUUCUCGAAUGGUUAAACACCAAAUUUUCCAUCGUCGGUCUCUGCUUCUCCGGGCAGCACCCGGCUUCUGAGAUUUCACUUACAGGAAUGGCGGAGUGCCGUUGGGCAUGGGCGCUGCUAAUUGCCUGGAAGCAGUCAGCUUCUGCUCUCAGCCAAUCCGUGACUCCCCAAUCUUCAGAAGUAAAUUUUAGAAGCCGUAUGCCACCGAAGGUGAGCUGAAACCGGUGCUGGCGGCAACUUGGGGUUAAACAGUUCAAAGGACACUAAAUGCAUUAAAACAAUUUUAACUCAAUGAAGCAGUUCUGGUAUAUAAAUCUGAAAUAUAUUGUACUCUAGUUAUUUUAAAAUCUUAAUUGUGAAUUAGACUUCUAAUGUGUUUAAGGGGUUAAAAUGAAAUGUAUGGUUGGUUAAAAAGUAAGCAUCCAGAGUAUAACAACUUAUUUUUAUUUCCCCCCUCCCAUCCUUCUACUUUUUCAUCUUCAGAAAGCAUGACCAAUGUCUGUGGAGAUAAUCAGUGAGAACUUACUGCAAUGAAGUUUGGAAAGAGUCAUUCAUUUUCUGCUUAAUGGAAAGGUAAACUUAUUUGCUUGGGUAAAUCACUGCUGUAUUUUAAUCCUUUUGAUGGCAAACAAGCAAUAGUGUAAAGGAAAAAAAAAAUCCAAAACCUAAGAGAGAAACAACUCUCCAAAUCUUGUAAACCGUUUUUACGCACCUUUUAUUCAUAUCCUUGUCUGAGAUCACCCUGAUGGACGAUCUUGGUCCAAUCCAAAGCUCCUCACAGUUGCUGUCAAUCUGAAAACCACUACAGAUGUGUUUGGGGUUUUUAAUUUAGACUGCCACUCAAAAGGGACCUGGUCUUGGCAACAAAACCAUUUCAUUAAGAGGAAGUGACUUGGUGCUCAGUGUCCAUGAAAUAAAGCAGAUUAAGAUGAUCUUCUAAAAUAAACACACUCUUUGUACUUUGUGAGCAUAAGGUUCCAAAUGAGCACAUUUUGAGACUGCAGGGGCAUAGUUUAUAUAUCAAAACUGCUUUAUAAAGAAGUGGAUUUAGCUCUUAAACUGACCCUGUAAUAAGCAAUUACUGAGUGGUGCCUCCUACAAAGGCGUGCUAGCGCUUUCUAUGUGCUUGCACGUAAGAACUGGAGGUAGAGGAAAAAAAGAAUGGCAUCCUCAAUUGUGCACAUUUUUUAUUUUAUGUGCCUGUGUCUGUGUUCUUACAGUUUUGCUAGGUUUUAACACUUAGAAGAGAACAACCUAUUUUAUGUUCUUCAGGACUCAGUAGUUAUUUUCUUUGGCAUCUACCUGUUUUACAGUUAUUGAACUGCAAGUGUGUGUUUAAGAAUGUGUCUGUAAUUAUGGUGGGUACUAGCAUUUAUUGGGCAAAGUAGCUCGGUGUGGAUGCACCAUGAAUUAAAGGACCACUAUAGGCACCCAGACCACUUCAGCUAAUUGAAGUGGUCUGGGUGCCAGGUCCAUCUAGGAUUAACACUUUCUGCUGUAAACAUAGCAGUUUCAGAGAAACUGCUAUGUUUACCUAUGGGUUAAUUCAGCCUCUAGUGGCUGUCUCAUUGACAGCCGUUAGAGGCGCUUCUCACUGUGAUUGACGCGCGCAUGUGCAUUCAGCCGAUGACUGCGAAAAGGAGGAGGAGAUGGAGCCCGGUGGGGGAAAACAGGUAAGAUUUAACCCCUUCCACCCCCUAUAGCCCGGAGAGGGAGGGGGGACCUAGAGACCCUAUAGUGCCAGGAAAACGAGUAUGGUUUUCCUGACACUAUAGUGGUCUUUAAAAAAAAAAAAAAAAAAAAUGUUUUUGUGGCAAGUAAUUUUUAGCCGUGGCUAGUACCUUUAGAAUUUGAAAUUGAUAGCCCUGAUGCACAGAGUAGGGAAAGCUCUCUCCUGUGUGAAGAGUGGAGUUGCGGACUACACUGCAAGGGUCCGUGACUCUGUCAGUUAUCGAAACACAAUCUGAUUCCGUAAACGGCAAACUGAUUGAAGCACAGUAGGGAGUCUCUUGUGAUCCCAUGUGAUUAUUGGAACUUAAAGUGUGCUUAUUCUUUAACCCUGUGAUGGGGGCACGUUUAUGGGAUAAGAUUCAUCCCUGCAGACCAGCUUGAGAUGCUCCUGAUUGCAACUGCAGGCACACCCACAAUGAGAAGGUUUUAUUUAUCUAUGUAAUACUUUAAAUACUGGGUCAGUUUUUAUACAGUCACUUUAAGUUCAUUCUCUUUAUUGCAACAAAUUAAUUUUGUACAUAUGUCUUCAUUAUAGGUCUGUUCGUGGCCUCAGUAUAUUGUCUGUGAAGAUAUGAAGAUCAUUUUACUUAGUAGGCUGGAGACAUCUGUACUACAGGUAAAGUUGUGUUGGUGUUGUAUUGUUUGUAGCAAGCUAGGGAUUAAAAAAUUAAUUUGUCAUAAACUACGGCUGGAACAAUGUCCAGGUUUGAUAAUGCAUUGCCUUAAUGGCAUAAAGUCCGAUAUAAUCUCCGCCAGAUUGCUUUCUGUGAAAAUGUUUGUAAAUAUUGAGUGUGUGUUCAUGCACACAUUACACUUUAUAGAGUGUAGAUUGUGUCUUCCACACUUUUAUAUCUUGCUUUGUACUUAUUGAAACUAUGCAAUAAAAAUUGAUACACUGGAAAAAAGAAAGGGAAUAUGUACAGUGUGCACACGCAUUGGUCUGUAAUAUUUUCUUCAAAUGAAGGCUUUUAUUCUUCUACUUACACUCGUGGGUUGUAAAUAGUGUAAUCUGCUCAAGAAGUGUGUGUAUAAUCUCCUCCCACAAAGGCGUGCCUGUACAGCUUUGUCUUCAGGUGCGUAAGAACUGGAGGUAAAGCAUUUAGACUGAUGGGUGUUAAUGCACUUGUUUCUUGUGAGACAGGAGCAGAUAUCAUCAUUCUUACAUGGUCGUACUUUGUGAAAUUAAAUAUGUACUAUGCAGAAUUAAAGACUAGAAUGAGAUUUUUUUAUUUAUUUUGUUUUUCAUUCCAUUUUUUUUUUUUACUUUCCAGCUUUUAAUGACUUCCAUAAGCGAUUGGCCACCAUGAUGUCACUGUAAGUUUGGGACAGUUUUAUUGUGUUAACAGAAAUACCAGUCGGUGGUGCCACAGGUUAUAAAUUCUGAGCAUGUUUUGUUUUAAGAAGCUAUAUAAUCUAAUCACAAAUAAAGCACUUAUUGAAAAGAA